GGUAUUAUACUUUAUUAUAGAAGAUAUGAAUUGCAAUCAUAAAGAAAGAUUUAAUUCUUUUAUACCA
rnacentral:tRNA from 1 species